GAUGAACGCAGGCGGCGUGCCUAAUACAUGCAAGUCGAGCGAGAUGUUAGCGCAUGAACCUUCGGGGGAUUAUGCUAACGGAAAGCGGCGGACGGGUGAGUAACGCGUAGGCAACCUGCCCCUGACAGAGGGAUAGCCAUUGGAAACGAUGAUUAAAACCUCAUGACACCGUAGAAGCACAUGCUUCAUCGGUCAAAGAUUUAUCGGUCAGGGAUGGGCCUGCGUCUGAUUAACUAGUUGGUGAGGUAACGGCUCACCAAGGUGACGAUCAGUAGCCGACCUGAGAGGGUGAUCGGCCACAUUGGAACUGAGACACGGUCCAAACUUCUACGGAAGGCAGCAGUAGGGAAUCUUGCACAAUGGGCGAAAGCCUGAUGCAGCAACGCCGCGUGAAGGAUGAAGGCCUUCGGGUUGUAAACUUCUGUUCUAAGGGAAGAAACAAAUGACGGUACCUUAGGAGCAAGCCCCGGCUAACUACGUGCCAGCAGCCGCGGUAAUACGUAGGGGGCAAGCGUUAUCCGGAAUUAUUGGGCGUAAAGAGUGCGUAGGUGGUUACCUAAGCGCAAGGUUUAAUUUAGAGGCUCAACCUCUACUUGCCUUGCGAACUGGGCUACUUGAGUGCAGGAGGGGAAAGCGGAAUUCCUAGUGUAGCGGUGAAAUGCGUAGAUAUUAGGAGGAACACCAGCGGCGAAGGCGGCUUUCUGGACUGUAACUGACACUGAGGCACGAAAGCGUGGGUAGCAAACAGG
rnacentral:rRNA from 1 species